AGAGUUUGAUCCUGGCUCAGGAUGAACGCUGGCGGCGUGCCUAAUACAUGCAAGUCGAGCGAGAAGCUCGCCAAUGAGACUUCGGUGGAUUUGGCGGGUGGAAAGCGGCGGACGGGUGAGUAACGCGUAGGCAACCUGCCCUUUGCACAGGGAUAGCCACUGGAAACGGUGAUUAAUACCUGAUAAUGCGAACCUAUCGCCUGAUAGGAUCGUCAAAGAUUUAUUGGCAAAGGAUGGGCCUGCGUCUGAUUAGCUUGUUGGUGGGGUAACGGCUCACCAAGGCGACGAUCAGUAGCCGACCUGAGAGGGUGAUCGGCCACAUUGGAACUGAGACACGGUCCAAACUCCUACGGGAGGCAGCAGUAGGGAAUCUUGCACAAUGGGCGAAAGCCUGAUGCAGCAACGCCGCGUGAGCGAUGAAGGCCCUUGGGUCGUAAAGCUCUGUCCUAUGGGAAGAAACAAAUGACGGUACCAUUGGAGGAAGCCCCGGCUAACUACGUGCCAGCAGCCGCGGUAAUACGUAGGGGGCAAGCGUUAUCCGGAAUCAUUGGGCGUAAAGAGUGCGUAGGUGGUUUCUUAAGCGUGGGGUUUAAGGCUACGGCUUAACCGUAGUUCGCCCCAUGAACUGGGAGACUUGAGUGCAGGAGGGGAAAGUGGAAUUCCUAGUGUAGCGGUGAAAUGCGUAGAUAUUAGGGGGAACACCAGUGGCGAAGGCGACUUUCUGGACUGUAACUGACACUGAGGCACGAAAGCGUGGGGAGCAAACAGGAUUAGAUACCCUGGUAGUCC
rnacentral:rRNA from 1 species